GGGGCGCUGUGGACCCCGUGCCAGGUCACGGCCUGCCUCACAGACACCUCCAGGUGAGGUGUCCCCACCCAGGGCGACACGGGGCGGCGUCCGCGGGCCCUGGAUAGAGGCCUGAGGCAGGCGCGGGCAGGCAAGGAAUGCUCUGGCCGGGGAGGCCCCUUGGAAGUCAGGGCGGCGGGAGGGGGCCGCUCUGAACCUCGGGCUUGGCUGGGGAUGUUUGGACAAGGCAGGCGGCCAGGGGUGUCAUCAGGGCUAAAAUUAGCCUCCGUUCCCGCUCAGCCCCUCCCCGGCCAGGAGGGAGGCUGGGCGCCCUCGUCCGUGGGCGCUCGGGAGGCGGCAGGCACCGGCCCAGUGACCUGGGGCCGCACUCUUGUGGCAGUGCCCUCACCCCCAUUUCACAGGUGACAGAGCUGAGGCUCAGAGAAAGCCACUGGCCGAGUCACGGCUCAGGGGGCAGAGCUGGGACGGCCACCCCGGACGCUGCCCUCCAGGCUCCCGCAGGGAGGUGACGGGCACGUGGUGAGCGGGCGGGGACCCUCUCGCCCUCCCCUCAGCAUGUCGCGACUGGUUUUUCUGACCAACUUCCCAAGAAACGCCUGCUGGCCUCGCGACCUGCCAGGGACCCGAAAGACCCUGGCCUGGGCCCAGGAAGGCCAAGGAGCUGCCCAGGCGCACAGGUGGCCGAGCAUGAAGACGUGAGAUCCAGCGGCAGGGAUGUGGCCUCCCCCAGGAGCCCCAAGGUCCAGCAGCUAAAUGGGGGCACACGUCAGCCAGGUCCCGCUCCCCGGGGCCCUCUGAGGGGUCAGUGGUAACCAGCGGCUGUGCUCUGGGACUCGCCGGGCAGACGGGGACAGCUGAGAGCCUUCAUUUACAGUCCAGCUGAGCUGGCCCCUGACUGUUUGUAGGUCGGAUCCCUUGGCUGUGGGGACGGUCCCCGCGAGGGCAGGUGCUGAAACGGGGGUGGAGGAGGCACGUGGGCCCCGGGUGACUGUGGGGGGGGACCAGCCAGGAGGGGCCGCGGGCUCGGGCCUCCCCCACCCCGCCAGGGCUGCAGCUACUUCGCCCCCGUCCUGGCUCUUCACUGUUCAUGCGGUCGCUGGACAGAGUGGGCUGUGCGCCUGGGGCCCCGCAGGGUGGCCUCGCGUGGGGGGGCGGAGAGCAGCGAGGCGGGAGGGGCCGGCAGGAGGAGCGGGCCUGGGGCAGGAAGUGUCCAAUCUGGGGCACAGCGCAGAGCAGACCUCCCCUCCCCAGCCUGCCAUUUCCUUUCUCCUGGAAGUGACAAUUGGGGACAGCACCUCUGGAGGCCUUACCUGACCCAUGCCCACUGGGACAGGGUUGUCCUGAGCCGAAGACCUCAGAUGCAGGGGGCUGCUCCAGCCCUCCUGGCUGCCCCGUCCGGGGAGGGGCAGGGCGGUGCCCAGCUCCCCAGGUGGCAGGUGGGACAGGCGCCGUGCACGGGAGCCUUCUAGGGGCCACGGGGCUCAGCCCAAAGAGGGGCCUGGUGACCGUGCUAGGACCUACCUCUGAGCCCCUGGCCCUCCCGUUCUCUGCUGAGCCGCCUCCGUCCUCUUCCUCCCCUGGGCAAACUCCCACUCAGGCUUUAUCCCCCGUUCCCCAGGAAGUCUCAUGGACACCCAGACUGACCCCUCUUGCUGUGGGACCCCUUCACAGCCUUGCUCAGCCUGGUCACCGGACUGUGAGCCUCAGGAGAGUGGACCAGGACUGUCUCCGCCAUCACUGUGUCCUAGUGGCCAGCACAGGGCCCAGCACCCAGCAGGCAGAAGUGUUCCCGUGUCAGCCAGAGGCCCUAGCUCCACCUCUGUCUGCUGUGUGACCUUGGAUAAGUGAAUAUCCCUCUCUCAGCCCUGUUUGUCUCAUCUGUAAAAUGGAUACUAAUGCCUCUCUUCCAGCCCCAAAGGCACUGAGAUGGCAAAGAAGUCACGUGGUACAGAAGGCCCUGGACCUGUGCUUGGCACCCAGGACGCAGAUCAACAAAUGUGUACUUAAAAAUCAGGCAAACUAACGCAAGAUCCCACUGUGCACCUGUUAGAGUGGCCCAGAUCCAAAACGGUGCCCACUCCAGGUCUGGGGAGGACGUGGAGCUACAGGAACUCCAGCCACUGCUGGUGGUGAUGCCGAAGGUGGGCCACUCCGAGCGGCAGCCUGGCAGCGGGUUACCAAACCAAACCCUCUCUCCGCCACCACCCGGAAGCUCGGCCCUCAGGUCACCCGCAGGAGCAGAAAAUUGAUGUCACACAAAACCCUGCGCGGUGUUUAUGGCAGCCCAGACGGAAGCAGCACCUGCGCUUCUGGGUGGAUGGCACGGGCUGUUGGCACCACAGAAAGGAGCCCGCGGGCCGCAGAGCGGAGGCUGCCCCCGAGUCCCCGCGGGGAGGCAGCCGGUGCGGUCAGAAGGGGCGGCGCCGCCAGCCAGGGGAUUUCGGGCAGCAGACUCUCUGCGCGUCCUCCGAGGGGACCCUGGGGUCACACUGGGGACUUGAGCUAAUGAAAACGUGUGGCACUGGCUCCUCAGCUGUGGCGGAUGGCCCCCCUGAGGCAGGAUGUGGAGCUGCCGGAGGGACCCAGACCUGCUCCGAGACAGGGAAGUCUGCUAAGGAAGAAGGCUCUUCAGGAGGGCAUGGCACCGUCCCCCAUGGGCACGGCGACACUCACCAGGCGGCUUCUUGCAUGCCUGAUGGGCGGCAGCGGAAGACUGGAACAAGGAAGCACACUCUGCCCUGAUGUGCCACAGGGUGGAAUAUUAUGCUGCCACUAAAAGAGCGGGAAGCCCUUGGUUAGAAGGAAGGAACCAGCCCUGCUGUUAAGAGGGGCAGACAGAGCACCUCAGGCCCCCGAGUGUGAUACGGUCUCUGUGGGGAAAAGAAAUAAACAGACAUGCGUGUUUGGGUCUGGUCUCCCUGAAAGGAGAAACUGGACACCGCUGGGGGCUUCUGCGGGUGGUGGGCGGUGGGUGGCUGAGAUUUACCCCAACACCCUUGGGCACCCUUUGAAUUCUGUGGCCCAAAUUGGUUUUACCUGUUG
rnacentral:lncRNA from 1 species